CUUGGUCAUUUAGAAGGAAAGUAAAAGUCGUAACAAGGUUUCCGGUAGGUGAACCCUGCGAAAGGAUC
rnacentral:rRNA from 1 species